GAGAAUAAUCUCAAUAAUUUUAAGAAAUGAAUAAUUUGUUAAUUUUUAAAUUAAUUUUUAAAAAUAUUUGUCAGUGUGAAAGAGUGAAUGAUUCAAACUUGAUGUCAUUUCCUUAGCUCUAUUAUUUUGAUUUUACCCACCCACCAUCAUCAUGUUGGUUUUAAAAAAUAAAAUUAACAAAAUCAAGAAGAGAUGAAGAAGAUCCACACAUUAGACAACAAAAUUUUUAAGCAACCAAACAUUUUGUGAGGGGAAAAAGCUUGAAAAAAAAAAGAGAAGAGUAACUCAAGAGAUGUCAACGCCAACUUGACGAACAAUCAUUUAAUUUAAUUAAUUGUGUUAAUACUCUAACAAUGUAUUUUUCAGAAUAUGUGAUCCAAUAACACAAAUGAAACAUCAGACAAUACAACACACACUGCAUUAUUAUAAACCGGAUGACAUGAAUUUUUCAUACUUAUUUAUCAAUUUUACAAACAUUGAAGUUUGGAGCAGUUUAGAGAGAUGAUCAGAGAUGAUGGGUGGAAAUAAAAUAGAAAAAAAAAAAAAAAAUGAGAGAAAAAGAGAGCGAGGGG